CCUACGGGAGGCUGCAGUGAGGAAUAUUGGUCAAUGGGCGUAAGCCUGAACCAGCCAAGUCGCGUGAGGGAUGACGGUUCUACGGAUCGUAAACUUCUUUUAUAAGGGAAUAAAGUGUGGGACGUGUCCUAUUUUGUAUGUACCUUAUGAAUAAGGAUCGGCUAACUCCGUGCCAGCAGCCGCGGUAAUACGGAGGAUCCGAGCGUUAUCCGGAUUUAUUGGGUUUAAAGGGUGCGUAGGCGGCCUGUUAAGGCUGCGGUGAAAGUUUGUGGCUCAACCAUGGAAUUGCCGUUGAAACUGGGGGGCUUGAGUAUGUGUGAGGCAGGCGGAAUGCGUGGUGUAGCGGUGAAAUGCUUAGAUAUCACGCAGAACCCCGAUUGCGAAGGCAGCCUGCCAAGCCAUGACUGACGCUGAUGCACGAAAGCGUGGGGAUCAAACAGGAUUAGAUACCCGUGUAGUC
rnacentral:rRNA from 1 species